GUGGGGAAUCUUGCGCAAUGGGCGAAAGCCUGACGCAGCCAUGCCGCGUGAAUGAUGAAGGUCUUAGGAUUGUAAAAUUCUUUCACCGGGGACGAUAAUGACGGUACCCGGAGAAGAAGCUCCGGCUAACUUCGUGCCAGCAGCCGCGGUAAUACGAAGGGGGCUAGCGUUGCUCGGAAUUACUGGGCGUAAAGGGCGCGUAGGCGGACAGCUUAGUCAGAGGUGAAAGCCCAGGGCUCAACCUUGGAAUUGCCUUUGAUACUGGCUGUCUUGAGUUUGGGAGAGGUGAGUGGAACUCCGAGUGUAGAGGUGAAAUUCGUAGAUAUUCGGAAGAACACCAGUGGCGAAGGCGACUCACUGGCCCAAUACUGACGCUGAGGUGCGAAAGCGUGGGGAGCAAACAGGAUUAGAUACCCGAGUAGUCC
rnacentral:rRNA from 1 species